rnacentral:lncRNA from 1 species
ACAGGUCACUGAGCUCUGAGCCUGUCUGACUGUGAUACAUUAACAGGUCACUGAGCUCUGAGCCCGUCUGACUGUGAUACAUUAACAGGUCACUGAGCUCUGAGCCUGUCUGACUGUGAUACAUUAACAGGUCACUGAGCUCUGAGCCUGUCUGACUGUGAUACAUUAACAGGUCACUGAGCUCUGAGCCCGUCUGACUGUGAUACAUUAACAGGUCACUGAGCUCUGAGCCCGUCUGACUGUGAUACAUUAACAGUGACUGGAGGAGCAGGGAGAACACACUGACACGUGGAUGAAUACACCCGUGUAUACGUUUGCUCCUGUAUGUGUGUGUGUGUGUGUGUGUGUGUGUGUGUGUGUGUGUGUGUGUGUGUGUGUGUGUUCAGUGCCUAGCUUAGAACAGAGCACGAUGCUGAUGUUGUUUGAUGUUAAUGAAAUGUUUUUGUAUUUUUUAAUUUAAUUUAACGAAUCCAUGGCCAAAGGACAGGCUUGGAGUACACACACACACACACACACACACACACGAAUAAAGGUCUUCAGACUAAACUUUGUUGACAGGAAACUACGCUCUAGCGCCCCCACAAAGCCUGAUGUCUCUCCCUUCAUCCCGUCAUCCCUCCAUCUUCCUCCCUCUGUCAUCUCUCUUCCUCCCUCUGUCAUAUCUCUUCCUCCCUCUGUCAUCUCCCUUCAUCCCUCCAUCUUCCUUCCUCUGUCAUCUCCUUUCAUCCCUCCAUCUUCCUCCCUCUGUCAUCUCCCUUCAUCCCUCCAUCUUCCUCCCUCUGUCAUCUCCUUUCAUCCCUCCAUCUUCCUCCCUCUGUCAUCUCCCUUCCUCCCUCCAUAUUCCUCCCUCUGUCAUCUCUCUUCCUCCCUCCAUCUUCUCUCUUACUCCCAUUCAAACCUCCAGCAACAUCUUACCACCUUUCCCUCUAUCUCUCUUUCCCUCGUCAUCUCCCUCUUUCCCUCGUCAUCUCCCUCUGUCCCUCGUCAUCUCCCUCUGUCCCUCGUCAUCUCUCUCUGUCCCUCGUCAUCUCCCUCUUUCCCUCGUCAUCUCCCUCUGUCCCUCGUCAUCUCCCUCUGUCCCUCGUCAUCUCUCUCUGUCCCUCGUCAUCUCCCUCUGUCCCUCGUCAUCUCCCUCUGUCCCUCGUCAUCUCUCUCUGUCCCUCGUCAUCUCUCUCUUUCCCUCGUCAUCUCUCUCUUUCCCUCGUCAUCUCUCUCUGCAUCCUUCUGUCUCCUUCCAUCCCUCUCCCCCUCACACCUCAAGGGACAUAUUUAUCAUAUUUAUCUCUCAACAUGCUUCCUUAACCUUACUGUAAUCCCCCUCUCUUUAUAUCUCUCCAUCUCUCCCUCAUCCCUCCAUCUCGUCCUCCAUCCUUCCAUCUCUCCAUCUCUCCCUCAUCCCUCCAUCUCAUCCUCCAUCCUUCCAUCUCUUCCUCCAUCCAUCUCUCCAUCUCCCCCUCCAUCUCUCCAUCCAUCUCCCCCUCCAUCCUUCCAUCUCUCCCUCCGUCCUUCCAUCUCUCCCUCCCUCCGUCCUUCCAUCUCUCCCUCCCUCCGUCCUUCCAUCUCUCCCUCCCUCCAUCUCUCCCUCCUUCCGUCCUUCCAUCUCUCUCUCCCUCCCUCCCUCCCUCCAUCCUUCCAUCUCUCCCUCCCUCCAUCCUUCCAUCUCUCCCUCCCUCCAUCCUUCCAUCUCUCCCUCCCUCCAUCCUUCCA